AUGAAAAUUUCCGAAAAUAGAAUGAUAUUUGAGAGGCUGCAAGCUUAUUUUUACUUAUAAUUAUAUAUAUGCUGUAUUAUUAAGCAUGCAUCGAUUCAAUUAUGUAAUUUGGGUUUCACUUCUUAUUGUUUUAGGUUUGUCACUAUUUAUUUAUAUGCAUUUGGCGACAUUUGAUCAUCCAUUAUACCAAUGAGAUUUUAACAGUCAAAUAUAAUAUUAACCAAUAAUCAAAGUGCAUAUACACACAGCAAUGACUAAUUGCACAUGUUUCGUUUAUUCUGGAACUUAUUUUUCUGAAACACAAUUUCAAAGUUGAAAAUUCUAGGUGGCGACAGUAACGUAUGUUACAUUUUAGGGCAUUAAUGGUACUUGUAAAAGAAAAAUAACAGAUAGAAAUGUAAAACUGAGAGUGUCCCUAUUAGACAAAGUGGCAGCCACCUUUCUAACGACAUUUUGACCUCAAGAAAAACCUUCGUAUAAGAGCUACCCAGUGGAACAUCAAAUGCUGUGUCUUAUUGAGAAUGAGCGAAUAUGUAGGACCCCAGUAACAUUUUGGCCAAUAUUUCAAUAAAUAAAUGAAAAGUAAAGAAAAUGUAUAACAUUGAAAACAUGGUGAAAUCAUGCUAGACAGCCUACCUAACUUUGUUCUGUCCUACAAGUUUGUACCAGUCCGUAGACAGGUUUUUAUUUCAUCAGUACUAGUAGGGUGACCUACUAGUAGGCCUACUCUUAUUUUCUAUAACACAUGCAUCAAAAAUCGUCUGUACUGUAUAGUUUUGAAGAAAACAAAACAAAUACAACAACAGCAUAGUGUUGAGUAGCUUAGUCAAUGCGGUAAACAAUGCGUUUCAUAAUUAUAAUGGAACUUUAUUUACAACGAACAAUUUAUAUCAUUUUACAUUGCGAUAUAAUAAUGAUGGAAUAAAAUAACAACAAAAAACUUACCAAUAAAACAGCAGCUUAUGUCAUUCAUCGUGUGUUAGGUCAUGUGUACACAGCGCCUCACCAGUCCGUGUAAUGAUUUACUGAUGUUAAAUUGUAGAGUCGACUGUUCCAUUGUAAUACACGGGUACAUCGGGUCUCAUGCCGAUGGUUUAAAUUUGCAAAUUUUAUUCUCUUUUUUCUUAAAAUACAGUUUGAUAAAAAGAUGAUUUGCAAAAAGUGUCUUUCAAUUUUAAAUUUUCUCACCGGAGAUGAUAAGGAAAUCUUAUUGCAGUUCAAGGCCGCCUUAAGGUAACACCCCUUAUAUCAAAAGCAGAAUGAAUUGGGCCAGUUUCAAUUAACGCGUCGCGCGCCGUUUUUGUUCUGCUAAUUAUAGCACAGUGACACAGGCAUGCAAACUUCCAGGUUAAUAUUUCGCCAUAAACUGACAUUUGGAGAAGAAUUAUGAGGACAUGUUCAACAACAUCCAAGCUGAAGAAGUAGAGGACCUUUAAUUGAUUUGGAGACCAAGGCAGAGCUGAGAGCGCAGCACUAAAAGAGCCUGGGGAAAGGCCUGCCUUAUUUCGUGGUGGAAGCUUACAUGAAAAAGGAAGACAUGGCAGUGUUACAUGAAUGAUUAUAUAAUGACAAUACCAAUUAAAAGAUACAGAAAAAGUUUGAGGGUUAGCGUGUUUCAUGUGUUCAACUGAUUUAACUCAAGUCAACAUCUGUACUGUAAUGAAGCUUUAGAAUUUAGCCUUUCUAAAGAAUAUUUAGGAUCUUAAGUGGAUGGACUUGUAAACGCAUUUCCAGUAACAUUUUGAUGUAUUCAUUAUAUAUAGCUGUGUAUGUGUUCUAGAAACAUAUUAUUUCUACCAGCCAAUGAAAGAGAGCCAUGUCUGUGUGAAAAUCUAAGCUAACUGAAAUGUGUGAGCAACUCAAUAAUUUACUAGUUCAUGAAACAUGCCAUGAAAAGAAAACAAAUCUAGAAAGGGAGUCAGAUAUCAAAAUAGCAAUGAAAGAACAGAAAUAUCUAAAACUUGCAGAAUCCGCUUGAUUUAGUCUGUUUGUGAGAGAAAAUGUUAAAGUGCAAUAUCAACUAAAUUUGCUGGAAUUAUCCCAAACGGCAAUUAUGAAGCCUUGCUAGGAUUCAUAUUACAGAUAAAGUUUGCUGGACAGAAAUCAUGAUACAGAAGUGGCUUAGAUAUAUGAGAAAAAUAUACUUGAAAAAUGGAAUAGCUUUAUUUAAGAAAUAAUUUAAUACGCAAAUACCAUCUUGUGAAUUUGGUUUUCAUAAAAUAAUGAGGUUUUAUCUAUAUUUAUCAUGUUUAUGCAUACAAGGAAUAUGUACCACAUUAUUAAUAUAAUCACACGCUCAAUAUUUUUUAUGCAUGCCCCAGGGCAUAUAGUAAUUGAACUGUCCGUCUUUCUGUCUGUAUAAGGAUAACCUAAAACAGCAAGUUUUUUCUUGAGUUCUACCUGCACCAAUGGCUUCAUAAUUCACACAUUCACUAAUCAGUUCAAAGAAUACAAUCUCCAGGGGCAAGUUACAUAACUAUGGCUCCCAUUUUUACCAAGUUAUUGCCCUUUUGAGCACUUUGAAAAUGAAAUGAUUAACCAAAACCGUCAAAUUGUAUAUAUCUUAAGUUCAGUUUAUACUAAUGGCUUCAUAAUUUUCACAGGUACUUCUCAGUACAAAGUGCAUUGAUAUUGCUAAGUAAUAUUACUGUGCCAUCAAUUUUUCACAGUUAUUUCCCUUUUUAUCACUUUGAAAAUAGAGCAUAAUAAUAGUGUAUGGUUAACCUUUUCAGGCAAGUUGGAUAUAUCUUAAAUUUCUCCUUAAUACUUCUUUUACAUUGUGAUACAUUGAGGGAUUUUGAAAUAACCUGGCACAAAUGUGUACCACAUCAAGAGGAUGUGUCGCAUUCAUGAACCACGUCCCUUUUCAAAGGUCAAGUUCACACUUUUAUUUUGAAGGUUCACACUAUCACAACUAGAGAUAGGUACACACAUUCGUGUCCGGAAUAUACCUUGUAACUUUGUCAUGCAUCGAAGGAUUUUAAAAUAACUUAGCACAAAUGUCAACCACAUCAAGAUGAUGUGUUGUGUGUAAAACCCAUGUUCCUACCUCCAAGGUGAAGGUCACUCUAAUAGUUUGAAGGUACUUAAGGUCAUAAGAAGAGUUUGAAGGUACGCAUUAGUUUUCAAACUGUAAAGUUGUCAUGCAUUAGAGGAUUUUAAAAUAAAUGUCUAUCACAUCAAGAUGAUGUGUGCAUCCAAGACCCUUGUCCCAAGGUGUUAAGUUUGCUAUAAAUAGUACUUCAUUUCACAAGACCAAUGUUAAGCAAUUAGUUAUUUGCAUGGGGGUGUCCGUGGCCGAGUGGUUAAGGUCAUUGACUUCAAACCACUUGCCCCUCACUGCUGUGGGUUUGUUCAUACGUAUGAACAAAAACCUGAAAUUGAA